UGUGUAAGUAUAAACAACUUGUACUUGUUAAACUGCGAAUGGCUCAAUAAAUCAGUUAUAAUUUAUUUGAUAGUGAUGUAAAGUCUUAAAACAUUUUACUACAUGGAUAGCCGUAGUAAUUCUAGAGCUAAUACAUGCAAAAAGAUCCGACUUGUAAAGGAAGGAUUGUAUUUAUUAGAUCGACAAAACCAACUAUAUAUUUUCUUUUAUUAUUGAAGAUUAGGGUUUCGGCUUUAAUUGGAUUUUUAAGAGAGAUAUUAAAGUAAUUGGUGGAAUCAUAAUAAAUUUAGUCGAAUCAGGAUUUAGUUUCUGAUGAAUCAUUGAAAUUUCUGCCCUAUCAACUGUUGACGGUAGGAUAGAGGCCUACCAUGGUUUUGACGGGUAACGGAGAAUUAGGGUUCGAUUCCGGAGAGGGAGCCUGAGAAAUGGCUACCACUUCCAAGGAAGGCAGCAGGCGCGCAAAUUACCCAAUCCCAAUAAAGUUGGGGAGGUAGUGACAAAAAAUAACAAUGCAGAGUGUCUAUGACAUUUCUGUAAUUGGAAUGGCUUUAAUGUAAAUGCUUAAAGGAGUAACAAUUAGAGGGCAAGUCUGGUGCCAGCAGCCGCGGUAAUUCCAGCUCUAAUAGUGUAUACUAAAAUUGCUGCAGUUAAAAAGCUCGUAGUUGGAUUUUGGAGGAAACGAAAAGAAUUAAUUAUUUUUUUAAAAGAGCCUUUUUUUAGACUAUAAUAGUAAGUUUUUUUAAUUAUAAAGAAUUUUUUUUAAUAGAGAAAAUUUUUUUCAAUUUAACUUACGGCUCUGUUUCUUCCUAAUUACUUUUUCGAAGUUCGGUCUUCCCCUUAAUUGGGUCGUAAUAGCCAUUAUUUAAUUAUCUUGGUUUUAUUCAGAAGAUUGUUAUAAAUAUAAUUUUUGUAAAAAAAUUAAAAACUUCGGAGAUUUUACUUUGAAGAAAAUGGAGUGUUCAAAGCAGGCGUUUUUUCGCAACUGAACACAUUAGCAUGGAAUAAUAAAAUAGGACACUUGAUUAAAAUAGCGAUAAUUAUUUUUUUAAUAGUUUUCAGUGUUUUUUAUUCGUCAAACAGUAAGAAAUAUUGAUAUAAAGAUUAUUUUAAGAGUAAUUAUAAAGCGUUAAUUGAAAAACACGCUAGAGGCUUAAGCAAUGAGGGAGUCAAAUCUCUUGUUGUUUUUGUUUUUGGGUGCAAAAUUUUUCAUUCCGUUUUGUUGGUUUUUAAAGAUCUAGAUGAAAGUCUAGGUUGUUUGGAACAAGUGUAAUGAUUAAAAGGGACAGUUGGGGGCAUCCGUAUUGCAUUGUCAGAGGUGAAAUUCUUGGAUUUAUGCAAGACGAACGAGUGCGAAAGCAUUUGCCAAGGAUGUUUUCAUUAAUCAAGAACGAAAGUUAGGGGAUCGAAGGCGAUCAGAAACCGCCCUAGUCUUAACUAUAAACUAUGCCAACUAGGGAUUGGAGGGAAGCUCUAAAAUAAUAAACAAACUUUUGAUUGUUUUUCUUAUUUUAGCAGAGAAACGCAAGUUUUUUUGUUAUUGUAGGGAAGACGCUUAUAUCUUAAGAUUGUUGAUUUUAAGCCCCGUCAGCACCUUUAGAGAAAUCGAUCAAGUCUCUGGGUUCUGGGGGGAGUAUGGUCGCAAGUCUGAAACUUAAAGAAAUUGACGGAAGGGCACCACCAGGUGUGGAGCCUGCGGCUUAAUUUGACUCAACACGGGGAAACUUACCAGGUCCAGACACAGGAAGGAUUGACAGAUUGAUAGUUCUUUCUUGAUUCCGUGGGUGGUGGUGCAUGGUCGUUCUUAGUUGGUGGAGUGAUUUGUCUGGUUAAUUCCGAUAACGAACGAGACCUCAACCUGCUAACUAGCUUAAUAAUUCUAUAUUUUAAUAUUAAUUAUAACACAAUAUUCAUUGUUAUAAGAAAGGCUUCUGCUUUUCCUUAUUUCAUUACUUUUGGUUUUGGUAUUGCUAACUUUUUCUUGCUAGAAUUCCAAUUCAAUUUGGCUCUUUUAGUUUUGAGGAAGGAUAAACAGUAUUGGGGCUAAAUUAGUGAAGGGGAUUAAGUGGUGUUUUUGUAGCAGUGGAUUAUUUAGACUAUCAGGGGAGUUUUGCUGGCGAAGUAUAGUUAGCAUCAAGUAGAAAUAUUUGGUGUUGGUUGUAUUUUGUUAGGAUGGCUCUCACGUCUAAGGAAUUAUACGUUCUUUGAGUAGAAGUUUAUCUUGUAAAAGAGGUGAAUUUUUAUUUGAAGGAUUAUUAAAAAGCUUCUUAGAGGGACUACCAUGGUUGCACAUGGGGGAAGCAUGAGGCAAUAACAGGUCUGUGAUGCCCUUAGAUGUCCUGGGCCGCACGCGCGCUACACUGAUAGAGUCAACAAGCUUAAAUUUAAUUUAUUUCCGUAAAAAAGGGGAAUAGUAUUUUAUUAGAUGGGAUGAGAUUAGUAAGUUUUGUAAAAGAAAUUUAUUAGUUUUGUUUUAUUUUAAUGAUAUUGUUUCUCUUGGAAAGUUUUAAAAUGAAAUCCUUGCCUGAAAAGGUUGGGUAAUCUUUUUAAACUCUAUCGUGAUGGGGAUUGAUCUUUGUAAUUUUGGAUCAUGAACGAGGAAUACCUAGUAAGUGCAAGUCAUCAGCUUGCGCUGAUUACGUCCCUGCCCUUUGUACACACCGCCCGUCGCUCCUACCGAUUGAAUGAUCAGAUGAAAUGUUUGGAUUGAAGAUUUGCAGGUUCGUUUGCAGAAGAUUCUUGAUUUAUUUCAAGGGUUUUUGAGAAUCAGUUGAUUUUUAAGAAGAACAGUGAAUCUUAUUAUUUAGAGGAAGGAGAAGUCG
rnacentral:rRNA from 1 species